UACGGGGGGGGCAAGCGUUGUUCGGAAUUACUGGGCGUAAAGGGCUCGUAGGCGGCCAACUAAGUCAGACGUGAAAUCCCUCGGCUUAACCGGGGAACUGCAUCUGAUACUGGAUGGCUUGAGAUUGGGAGAGGGAUGCGGAAUUCCAGGUGUAGCGGUGAAAUGCGUAGAUAUCAGGAGGAACACCGAUGGCGAAGGCAGGUCUCUGGGCUGACACUGACGCUCAUGCACGAAAGCGUGGGGAGCAAACAGG
rnacentral:rRNA from 1 species